rnacentral:tRNA from 1 species
GUCCCAUUAGCUCAGUGGAUCAGAGCGUCUGCCUCCGGAGCAGAAGGUCACAGGUUCGAAUCCUGCAUGGGACACCA